UACAGAGGGGGCAAGCGUUGUUCGGAAUUACUGGGCGUAAAGCGCACGUAGGCGGUUCGGUAAGUCGGAUGUGAAAUCCCUCGGCUUAACCGAGGAAGUGCAUCCGAAACUGCCGAGCUUGAGUACGGAAGAGGGUCUCGGAAUUCCCGGUGUAGAGGUGAAAUGCGCAGAUAUCAGGAGGAACACCGAUGGCGAAGGCAGUGUUCUGGGCCAGUACUGACGCUGAGGAGCGAAAGCGUGGGGAGCAAACAGG
rnacentral:rRNA from 1 species